rnacentral:tRNA from 2 species
GCUGUUGUAGCUCAGUAGGCAGAGCACGUCAUUGGUAAUGACGAGGUCGGCAGUUCGAAUCUGCUCAACAGCUCCA